rnacentral:rRNA from 1 species
UUCGUAGGUGGCUUUCUAAGUCAGACGUGAAAUCCCUCAGCUUAACUGGGGAACUGCGUCUGAGACUGGCGAGCUUGAGUGCAGGAGAGGAACGCGGAAUUCCAGGUGUAGCGGUGAAAUGCGUAGAUAUCUGGAGGAACACCGGUGGCGAAGGCGGCGUUCUGGACUGUUACUGACACUGAGGAACGAAAGCCAGGGAGCAAACG